rnacentral:rRNA from 1 species
AUUGAACGCUGGCGGCAUGCUUUACACAUGCAAGUCGAACGGCAGCGCGGGCUUCGGCCUGGCGGCGAGUGGCGAACGGGUGAGUAAUGCAUCGGAACGUGCCCAGUAGUGGGGGAUAGCCCGGCGAAAGCCGGAUUAAUACCGCAUACGACCUGAGGGUGAAAGCGGGGGACCGAAAGGCCUCGCGCUAUUGGAGCGGCCGAUGUCGGAUUAGCUAGUUGGUGGGGUAAAGGCUUACCAAGGCGACGAUCCGUAGCUGGUAUGAGAGGACGACCAGCCACACUGGGAAUGAGACACGGCCCAGACUCCUACGGGAGGCAGCAGUGGGGAAUUUUGGACAAUGGGGGCAACCAUGAUCCAGCCAUGCCGCGUGCGGGAAGAAGGCCUUCGGGUUGUAAACCGCUUUUGUUCGGGAAGAAAUCCUCUGGGCUAAUACCCCGGGGGGAUGACGGUACCGGAAGAAUAAGCACCGGCUAACUACGUG